AACGAACGCUAGCGGCGGGCUUAACACAUGCAAGUCGAGCGCGUGGCUUCGGCCACGAGCGGCGAACGGGUGAGUAACACGUAGGUCAUCUGCCCUUUGGUGGGGAAUAACCCGAGGAAACUCGGGCUAAUACCGCAUACUGCCUUCGGGUCAAAGGCUUCGGCCGCCAGAGGAUGAGCCUGCGUCGCAUUACCUAGUUGGUGGGGUAAUGGCCACCAAGGGGACGAUGCGUAGCUGGUCUGAGAGGAUGAUCAGCCACACUGGGACUGAGACACGGCCCAGACUCCUACGGGAGGCAGCAGUGGGGAAUAUUGCGUAAUGGGGGAAACCCUGACGCAGCCACGCCGCGUGGGUGAUGAAGGCC
rnacentral:rRNA from 1 species